rnacentral:rRNA from 1 species
GAUGAACGCUGGCGGCGUGCCUAAUACAUGCAAGUCGAGCGAACGGACGAGAAGCUUGCUUCUCUGAUGUUAGCGGCGGACGGGUGAGUAACACGUGGAUAACCUACCUAUAAGACUGGGAUAACUUCGGGAAACCGGAGCUAAUACCGGAUAAUAUUUUGAACCGCAUGGUUCAAAAGUGAAAGACGGUCUUGCUGUCACUUAUAGAUGGAUCCGCGCUGGAUUAGCUAGUUGGUAAGGUAACGGCCUACCAAGGCAACGAUGCAUAGCCGACCUGAGAGGGUGAUCGGCCACACUGGAACUGAGACACGGUCCAGACUCCUACGGGAGGCAGCAGUAGGGAAUCUUCCGCAAUGGGCGAAAGCCUGACGGAGCAACGCCGCGUGAGUGAUGAAGGUCUUCGGAUCGUAAAACUCUGUUAUUAGGGAAGAACAUAUGUGUAAGUAACUGUGCACAUCUUGACGGUACCUAAUCAGAAAGCCACGGCUAACUACGUA